rnacentral:rRNA from 1 species
AUUGAACGCUGGCGGCAGGCCUAACACAUGCAAGUCGAGCGGUAGCACAGGAGAGCUUGCUCUCUGGGUGACGAGCGGCGGACGGGUGAGUAAUGUCUGGGAAACUGCCUGAUGGAGGGGGAUAACUACUGGAAACGGUAGCUAAUACCGCAUGACCUCGCAAGAGCAAAGUGGGGGACCUUCGGGCCUCACGCCAUCGGAUGUGCCCAGAUGGGAUUAGCUAGUAGGUGGGGUAAUGGCUCACCUAGGCGACGAUCCCUAGCUGGUCUGAGAGGAUGACCAGCCACACUGGAACUGAGACACGGUCCAGACUCCUACGGGAGGCAGCAGUGGGGAAUAUUGGACAAUGGGCGAAAGCCUGAUCCAGCCAUGCCGCGUGUGUGAAGAAGGUCUUCGGAUUGUAAAGCACUUUAAGUUGGGAGGAAGGGCAUUAACCUAAUACGUUAGUGUUUUGACGUUACCGACAGAAUAAGCACCGGCUAACUCUGUGCCAGCAGCCGCGGUAAUACAGAGGGUGCAAGCGUUAAUCGGAAUUACUGGGCGUAAAGCGCGCGUAGGUGGUUUGUUAAGUUGAAUGUGAAAUCCCCGGGCUCAACCUGGGAACUGCAUCCAAAACUGGCAAGCUAGAGUAUGGUAGAGGGUAGUGGAAUUUCCUGUGUAGCGGUGAAAUGCGUAGAUAUAGGAAGGAACACCAGUGGCGAAGGCGACUACCUGGACUGAUACUGACACUGAGGUGCGAAAGCGUGGGGAGCAAACA